CUGCCAGACAGAAAAGCCAGACACUGUAGUUCUGCAUCAUCUCAGAGAAGCCAGACAAUAGCAGGAGCCACACACUUACACAGGAUAUAAGGAAGGAGCCAUUCUGUACAUGGAAAGGAGCGGUGAUCUUUGGAGGGGGAAGGGAGAAGGAAGUCCAGGAGAAACUUGAAGUCAGCUUGACUUGGUCAGGGAUCAUGGAUCUGGCUCUCAGCAGAAGCCCAAACAGUUAAUAUAACUGGCUGCCCGAGGCGCUGUGAACUGGACCUCAGAUGAGACUGAUUCUCAUUCCCUUUCAAAAAGGUCUCCUGUGGCUAUCCUACACAUGGUUUGAACAGGAUCCAAGUGUUUCUUUUUAUCAAUGUUAUUAUUCUUUAAUAACAUUUUCUCAUUCGUUUCUAAGGCUUUGUGUAGGUUGAGGGGUCUGGGAAUUCAUUUCCUUUUCUCUGUCUAUUCUGAGCAAAUUCCAAGCCAAGUCAGUUUUCCAGUGGGACAGGGGGAACUUAAAGGCACAUCACAACAGUGGAGGCUGGGGUCAGGACACCAGUCAGGAGUGGAUUAAGAAAUGGGAGAGGGGCUUUCUGCUCUGGCAGACUCUGGGGCCUUACAUUUCUCCGAAAAAGAUAUCAUAAUAGUCUUAAAGAAACUCUUAUGCUGGCUGUCACAUGAAGAGCUGAAUCCUUCAUUUUCUUACGGAGGGAGAGUUUUCCAGCCAAUGUUAUAAAUUCUUUCCUGUUGUGGGAGGUUGGUUACUUUUCCCUAUGAAGUGAUUCAAAAUUUGGAAAUUCCCCAUCUUGAUUAUUGAAAUGUACUCCAUGUGUGGCUGUUGUCAAAAUAAUAGUUGAAGCUACCAAUUUUAAUUGAUCUGGAAGAUCUAAGUGAGGGUUUGAUUUCUGAAAUAGCCAAUAAAUGGCAGGAUAAAAAGUGAACAUAUCUGAUUUUUUUUAAAAAAAAUUGAAUGUCUAAUUCACAAUUCAAAUUCAAUAUAAAUUUAAAAUAUUGAUUUGGAUCUCAUUUUGUAAUUUUUAGGUUUGCAUUGUUUGCAUGAAGACAGGAUAUUUGGCUGGCUUCAAUAUUACAUUGAAAUUCACAUAGUGAUUUUGGUUUGGCUGGACACAGACGUUCAACCAUGUCUUUUUAAAAGUAAAUUAGACUUUUCAUAUUCUUACAAGAGAGCUAUUUGGAGAAAGAAGCCACGUGUAUCAAAUAUGCAGAGAGAAGCAGAUUCUCAUUCCAUCUAAAUUAUAGCAUUCAUCUCUUGUAAUUGCUCUUUUGUAGGUGACACAAUAAGUGACUUAAAAUUACCUGUAUCAUGACAAUAUGCAAAAGGCAUGAAUGAUAUUUCUUUGCUAUAUUAUCAAAAACCAUAAUACAGUAUUAAAAAAUAUCACAGUACUACAUUUUACUACAUUCUAAUGUCACUGCUGCUAUUUUUGCAAA